AAUAUUGCACAAUGGGGGAAACCCUGAUGCAGCGACGCCGCGUGAGCGAAGAAGGCCUUCGGGUCGUAAAGCUCUGUCCUUAGGGAAGAAACGUCCGGUGCCCUAGGACGACGCCACUGCUAACUACUUGCCAGCAGCCGCGGUAAUACGUAGGGGGCAAGCGUUGUCCGGAAUUAUUGGGCGUAAAGGGUGCGUAGGCGGCCUUUUAACUCAGAUGUGAAAGACCACGGCUUAACCGUGGGGUUGCAUUUGAAACUGGAGGGCUUGAGUAUCGGAGAGGGUAGUGGAAUUCCCAGUGUAGCGGUGGAAUGCGUAGAUAUUGGGAGGAACACCAGUGGCGAAGGCGACUACCUGGACGAAAACUGACGCUGAGGCACGAAAGCUAGGGGAGCAAACA
rnacentral:rRNA from 1 species